UUAUGUCGCUUUUGCUCAUCUAGAGACACAAAUUAAGUUUUUAAAUCUAUCUAAAUUAAAAAAAAAAAAAAAAGGGCAGCUCGGUGCACUAAAGCUACCGCUAUGCACGGUAUCCGGGGAAGGGCUCCACCACAAGUGGUGUAUCGUACGCAGCCUUACCUUGCAUUUCUGCCAGAGGCUGUUUCCAAGGCUUGAACACGUGACCUCCUGGUCACAUGACAGCAACUUUACCAGUUACUCAAAGGCUCCCUUCUAAAUCUAUCUCAAGAAGAUGACAAGUUAUGUUGAAUUUGAGUUCGAAGGUUAUAUUGUUAUACUAAAGAUAAGUUGUGACCUCUAAACUAAAAAUAAUAGGAAUUCAAUAUGAUGAAAUAAAGAAGAUUAUAAUUUUUAAUUUGCGCGGGCACUAAUACUAGUAUUAUUAAUAACAGAGGAUGCAACCCUCUCAUAGACCCUAAUGUCAGAUUUUAAUUCAUCCAAGUGGCUGAUUUUUAUUCGUCCAAGUGGCAGAAUUUAAAAUAUCCAUUGCAUUAUCUUUACUUUUAAAUUUUAUUUAAAUUAAAUACUUAAUUUUUGAAAGAAUAAGUAAAUAUUUGAAUGAGAAGUUAAUUCAAAAACAAACAGUUACUUCUAUAAACUGCCAACAAAAUAUCGAAAGUUCAAAUUCGGUUCAUCAAAAUCAAAUUAAAGAGAUGUUAAUUCAAAAAAUUAAUAUAAAUAAUUCCGUAAUAUAAAUUAUUCAUUUCAAAAUGAAAACCUAACAAGCUCUAUCAUUUUUACUUCUUAUUACGGUUAAAAAAACGAUAACACACUAAACAAGGAUUUUUUAAAUAAAGAUAUAGUUGUUAAAUCAAUUGUUUUAAAUAACUUCAAAUUCAAAUUUAUAGUUACUUUAUAAUUUCAUUUUUUUAAUUCAAUUUUUUGGUAUAUUAUGUAGCUAUAGUAUUUUCAAUUACAAAUUACAAAAGGAAAAAUACACUUUUUUCAUCUCAUAAAUUGCUUAUAAUUUUUGUAUAUUUGCUUCACUACAACCAGAUUCAGAUUUUGAUGCAACCUUCAUAUUUUGAUGCAACCUCCUCAUUAAACCAUAUGUCAUCACAUACAACAUCCUUCUUCACUGAAUUGCAAAUAUAUACACCUUUUUUUUUAUGCAACCUCCUCAUUAAACCAUAUGUCAUCAUAUAUAAUAUCCAUCUGCACUAAAUUGCAAAUGUAUACAUAUGUUAGUAAUUCAAUAACUCUUCUAAUUGAAUAAGUUACCAUGUAAUAUUAUAACUCUUUUACCAGAAUCUUAUUUGUCCAAUGUGUUUCCUACUUAUUACACAACACAACUACAUUCCUUCUUUUUCUCAAAUUUAAACGUAUUUUCCUUCCCCUUCUCUAUUAAAGAGAUUCACAUCCUUUUGUAACCAAUGAUUCCUUCUUAUACCACUACGAUCUACAAAUACCACUGAUUCCUUACCACAAUCUACAUAUACCUUCAUAUUCUAUCCAAAAUGUUAGUCUUCAUAAAUGACAUAACCAUCACAAAAAUGAAUUGAAAGCUAAAAGUCUUCGUUGUUCAUCUUUGGGAAGUGAAAGAUCGCUUUAAUCCCGACUCAGUUUACUCAAUUGAAAUGGUACUUCAGCAGAAGAAGAUGUUAUUGGGGAAAUUGUCAAUUUCGGACCAAUUCAAACUCACAAUAAGGGAGGCAAUUCUAGAAAGUUCAUUCAUAUCGAUCUGGAAGAUGAUGAGAUAUCAGCAACUUUUUGGGGAGAUUUUGUUGAUCAAAUUAUGCCACAACAUCUAAGUUCUGACAACGAAACAGUUAUUGUUGCUAUGCAACUAAUGCAGGCACACAAAUUUCAAGAUGUCUAUACCACAUGAAAUACUUGGAAUGCCUCCAAGCUUUGGAUAAAUCCAACCGAUGCUUAAUCUGAAGACUUUAAAAAUGAUUACUCUCUGUUCGAGAUAGAAACUCAGAUAGAUUAAUAAGUACCAUAAGUAACACCUCUCAUCAAGUUUCCUCAGUGAAGCCAAAACAAUUUCUAAACUGUUGGAGAUUGAGGAAGUUAGUAGACCCUUUUCCAUAUAAUAUAUUGACAUGUUCCUGUGUUAAAUAUAUAUAUUCUUACCAAUUUAUAUUUUUAAUUUACCAAUAUACAAGAAGGUUCUCAUUGUUGUAUAGUAGUCACUAUUGAAUUGUUAAACCUAGAAAACGGAUGAUCUUAUAAUGGAUGUAUGGUAAAAAGUUACACGCACCCGGUGUAUACUGUUGGGUUCGAAAUCAAGAGGGCGUCAUGCGAAAGCUAUUAGUUGCAAAUUAUUGAAACGAUAAAUCAGAUGAAAAGAAAAACAUACUCAAAAAUAUAUUAUUGAUGUAAUUUGGUCAAGUGACCUACAUAUUGAAAACUAAUAUCAAAAAACAUUAAAAUCUAUUGGGAGAAAUUCU